rnacentral:rRNA from 1 species
UGGCGAACGGGUGAGUAACACGUGGGUGAUCUGCCCUGCACUUCGGGAUAAGCCUGGGAAACUGGGUCUAAUACCGGAUAGGAGCCAUCUUUAGUGUGAUGGUUGGAAAGUUUUUCGGUGUAGGAUGAGCUCGCGGCCUAUCAGCUUGUUGGUGGGGUAAUGGCCUACCAAGGCGGCGACGGGUAGCCGGCCUGAGAGGGUGGACGGCCACAUUGGGACUGAGAUACGGCCCAG